rnacentral:tRNA from 1 species
CGGGGUGUAGCUCAGCCUGGCUAGAGCACUGCGUUCGGGACGCAGGGGUCGCUGGUUCAAAUCCAGUCACCCCGACCA